rnacentral:rRNA from 1 species
GUCGAACGGUAACAGGUCCUUCGGGAUGCUGACGAGUGGCGGACGGGUGAGGAAUGCAUCGGAAUCUGCCUGUUUGUGGGGGAUAACGCAUGGAAACGUGCGCUAAUACCGCAUACGUCCUUUUGUCGGGAGAUGAUUGGAGAAAGUGGGGGACCUUCGGGCCUCACGCGAACAGAUGAGCCGAUGUCGGAUUAGCUGGUUGGUGGGGUAAAGGCCUACCAAGGCGACGAUCCGUAGCUGGUCUGAGAGGAUGAUCAGCCACACUGGAACUGAGACACGGUCCAGACUCCUACGGGAGGCAGCAGUGGGGAAUAUUGGACAAUGGGGGCAACCCUGAUCCAGCCAUGCCGCGUGUGUGAAGAAGGCCCUUGGGUUGUAAAGCACUUUUGUUGGGGAAGAAAAGUUUUCGGUGAAUAACUGGAGAUCCUGACGGUACCCAAAGAAUAAGCACCGGCUAACUUCGUGCCAGCAGCCGCGGUAAUACGAAGGGUGCAAGCGUUACUCGGAAUCACUGGGCGUAAAGGGUGCGCAGGCGGCCUGCCAAGUCUGAUGUGAAAGCCCUGGGCUCAACCUGGGAACGGCAUUGGAAACUGGU